rnacentral:snRNA from 1 species
AUGCUCGCUUUGGCAGCACAUAAACUAAAAUUGGAGUGAUACGGAGAAGAUUAGUAUGGCCCCUGCACAAGGAUAACAUGUUCAAGAUGGAUUAGCAAAAAUA